rnacentral:rRNA from 1 species
GUCUCCGGCCAUACCACCCUGAACGCGCCCAAUCUCGUCUGAUCUCGGAAGCUAAGCAGGGUCGGGCCUGGUUAGUACUUGGAUGGGAGAGGGUUUAUUCUUAGAAUCA